rnacentral:rRNA from 1 species
UACGGGGGGGGCAAGCGUUGUUCGGAAUUACUGGGCGUAAAGGGCUCGUAGGCGGCCAACUAAGUCGGACGUGAAAUCCCUCGGCUUAACUGGGGAACUGCAUCCGAUACUGGAAGGCUCGAGUUUGGGAGAGGGAUGCGGAAUUCCAGGUGUAGCGGUGAAAUGCGUAGAUAUCUGGAGGAACACCGGUGGCGAAGGCGGCAUCCUGGACCGGCAUUGACGCUGAGGCGCGAAAGCCAGGGGAGCAAACAGG